rnacentral:rRNA from 1 species
GGCGCACGGGUGCGUAACGCGUAUGCAAUCUACCUAUUGCAGGGGAAUAGCCCAGAGAAAUUUGGAUUAAUGCCCCAUAGUACUAUUGAAUAGCAUUAUUUAAUAGUUAAAGAUUUAUCGGCAAUAGAUGAGCAUGCGUCCUAUUAGCUAGUUGGUGUGGUAACGGCACACCAAGGCUACGAUAGGUAGGGGUCCUGAGAGGGAGAUCCCCCACACUGGUACUGAGACACGGACCAGACUCCUACGGGAGGCAGCAGUGAGGAAUAUUGGACAAUGGGCGAGAGCCUGAUCCAGCCAUGCCGCGUGCAGGAAGACUGCCUUAUGGGUUGUAAACUGCUUUUAUACAGGAAGAAACAUCCCGACGUGUCGGGACUUGACGGUACUGUAAGAAUAAGGAUCGGCUAACUCCGUGCCAGCAGCCGCGGUAAUACGGAGGAUCCAAGCGUUAUCCGGAAUCAUUGGGUUUAAAGGGUCCGUAGGCGGGCUUGUAAGUCAGUGGUGAAAGUCUGUGGCUCAACCAUAGAAUUGCCAUUGAUACUGCUAGUCUUGAAUUAUUAUGAAGUGGUUAGAAUAUGUAGUGUAGCGGUGAAAUGCUUAGAUAUUACAUGGAAUACCAAUUGCGAAGGCAGAUCACUAAUAAUAUAUUGACGCUGAGGGACGAAAGCGUGGG